AUAAAAGGUAUUCCCUAGUACGGCGAGUGAAGCGGGAAGAGCUCAAAUUUGUAAUCUGGCACUUUCAGUGUCCGAGUUGUAAUCUCGAGAAGUGUUUUCCGCGCCGGACCGCAUACAAGUCUGUUGGAAUACAGCGUCAUAGUGGUGAGAACCCCGUAACUGAUGCGGAUGCCCGGUGCUUUGUGAUACACUUUCGAAGAGUCGAGUUGUUUGGGAAUGCAGCUCAAAUUGGGUGGUAAAUUCCAUCUAAAGCUAAAUAUUGGCGAGAGACCGAUAGCGAACAAGUACCGUGAGGGAAAGAUGAAAAGCACUUUGGAAAGAGAGUUAACAGUACGUGAAAUUGUUGGAAGGGAAACGCUUGAAGUCAGACUUGCUAUUUGGAGUUCAACCCAUGGUGUAUUCUUCAAUUUGCAGGCCAGCAUCAGUUUCUGGGGGUGGAAAAUCGUAGUUUGAAUGUAGCAGUUUCGGCUGUGUUAUAGCUUUCUACUGGAUUCAUCUUCGGGGACUGAGGAACGCAGUGCGCUUUUAGCAAGGCUCUCGAGCUUUACGCACUUAGGAUGCUGGUGGAAUGGCUUUAAACGACCCGUCUUGAAACCACGGACCAAACA
rnacentral:rRNA from 1 species